GUCGGUAUACUCUUGACCAGAUACCGAGGGUGAUGCUGCUUGUCAUGGCAAUAGUUUUGAAGGGGGCUAAGAGGAAAGCAAGGAUGCAAAUCUCAGACCUGAUUUUUGGAGACACUUUUUCUGUAUUCCCAAGAGAUGGCCAAGAAAGUUAUGCCAAAGUUAAUAAAUGUCAGAGACCCACAGGGGGAGGCUCAUGUCUAGGGGUGCAUCAUUCGAGAAUUCCUUCAGGGGAAGAAGAGAAUUGCCUAGCUGACCAACAUAGUUUCUCAUUUUAAAUAAGGCCACUGGCUAAAUAUUCAUAUAUAUAUUCAUAUAUAUAAAUAUAUUCAUAUAUAUAUUUAAUAAUCAAAAGAAAAUCGAUUAGAUUAGCCAGAAGAAUUACUAGAAGAUUCACUGAAGUGGUAAAUUCCCCGACUUUCUUUAGAAAAUGAAUGAAGUUACAUAAGUGUGAUGGACACGUCUAUUUUCAGAGUCUGAAAAGUCCAGUAAACCAGUAACAGAGCUCACAGCUACUGCUUCCAAAGGCCAGGGUAGAACUUCACAGGGCUGUUCCUAGAGAACUGAGUUCCUCUUUUCUUUAGUGAAAACCAAGACUCGGAGAGGUUAAGCAACAUGCCCACACCACAGAGCAAGUAAAUAGCAAGUCAACACAUUCCAAGUCUAGGUAUCUUUUGGCUCGAAUUAUCUGCCCCUUAAAGUGAAGCAACCAUCGCAAAGAUGUAAAGAUGAAUAUACUCCCACAUAUUCCUAAAUCUAUUAUCAUACUUCUUAUGGGAGCUGAUAGUCACGGAUUACUCAAUUCAGACAUCAGAUGCUAAUAUAAACCAGCAGCCCCAGAUCCUGCCAGCCUUAGAAUCUUUCUACCCAAAGCAGAAGGGAGUGGUUGGGCAGGCAAGAGCAGGAACAAUAAAAAGCAAUAAAAGCAGGAAAAGCAACAGGCUGCCUGGCCUCAUGCACAGAGAGCAAAUGAAGAGCUGUGGUCAGGGUGCUUAAACAUGACCUCCAUGGGCAGGGCAGCUCAUCAAGAUCGAUGGCCACUGGAUUCCACAGCCAACAUUAAAUUAACAAAUGACACCCAAGAGGUCCAAUCUCUCUUUCCCCUCAAAUAACCCCCUAGCCUCCCUGCAAUCUCCUCCACCCACCCACAUUUCAGUUUCUUCUCCCUGAUGGCAGCCCCACCUCACUUCUCAUUGCCCUAAUCUGACAAGAGAUGGAAGAUGUCAAAUACUUUCCAUUCCUUUCUCCCCAGGCUACUUUUGUAGCAUGCCACUUAAACACCUCUCCUGCAUUCAGGCCAGCCUUGGGCGAGGAACAUCGUCAGACUUCAUAGAGAAGGGAAUCUGCCCUUCACUUUGUCCAACCACUAAAUAGGGUCUAGAAAGUUUCUUGAGCACGGGAUCCAAGGUCACAGGGUCGAUACCAACUGUAAGCGUGGGGUUGAUAGGGAGCAUUGGAACCACCCAUAGGCCCUGUCUUGCAAUCAGAUAAGGGUUAGUCCUGAGAAAGCCCUUUCUCUAUGCCCCUAGACUGAUUUCUCUUAUAAAGAGUAAGGAAAAAUAACACAUCACAUGAUUGAGAAAAAGAGAGAGAAAUCAGUGUUUCUGGACCUAUACAGAAAGGAUGUAUACUCAUAGAGAUUGGGGAGUUGUUAGGGAAACCACUCCCCUUAUUAAAAUAAAGCCAUACCCUCCAAGAUUUAGCACUGGAAGCAAAAGCCCCAGGAGCGGAAGCAGAAAUGAUCUAGUGGCCCCCCCGACUAGUGCCGCAAAGUACAGGGUCAAGGUAAGAACUCCUGUUCCAGAAUCUGUCAGAUUUAGAUUCAAAGCCCAACUCCUUUACCUCAGAGCUGUGUAGGGUUAUCAGGAAAAUUAUCUAAGUUCCCUGAGGCUCAACUUCACCAUUAGUAAAAAUGUGUUAACCACGCCUCCCUCAGGGAGCUGUAGCGAGGAGGUCAUGAACUAGGGCGCGCUGAGCGUGCACACAACGUCAGCACAUGGCCAGCUGGACGGCAGCUGGCACUGUAAGGACAAGAUCAUCUCCUCCUUAGGGUUUGAGCACUAUCACUGAUGCCACCUCAAAUUAAUUCCCGGGAGGAUAGUAAUUCUCCCUCCUUUAAUGAUUUACAGUGUUUCUUUUCCCCUUUGAGCAUAUAUGUAAACACAGAAAUAUAUUUACAAAGUCGCAAUCAUACUAAUAAGUUGUUGUAGAGCAAGGAUAUGGACCUGUGUCUGACUCCAGAGCCAUGUUGAAGACUCUUAGGAGAGUCCCAAACCACAGGGAUAUGAAUGUGCAGAGUGCCAAAUGCCAACCACACAAAGAGGAGAGGAGUUAUUCAUUCCCUUCUCCCCACCUCCCCACUCACUUCCUUCCCAUCCUCCCUGGAAACAAAGAAGGAUGUUCUACUAACAUGGUUGGUGAGAGACCAAGACAUCGACUAGGACACUCUGACUAGUAGGCACGGUUGGUGCACCAUUUUUCACUCACUCUCUUGCUCCUGCUUUAUGCAUGCAAGCAGUUAAGUGGGCAGAGACCUAGAGUCUACUCCACCUCUCUCAACGUCCUUACUCCGUGGCUGUGGACAGAGGGCAGGAAGAACGUGAGUGGCUGAAGAUGUAAGCUGCAACAGUGAACUUUUCUAAAGUGCCUUUCUGAUUGACUGUGAUCACGUUCAGAAGAUCAAACAAGUCUAUCGGUGGCAGGUUUGGCCUGGUUAUUUCUAAUACAGGCUAAUGGGAAAUCAGUCCAAUUAGUACAUGAAUUUUGAUAAAGCCUAAAAUUUGAAAUCAACAUUCCAGUCCUCCUGGUUGUGCCAUAAAGUCUGGGGCUACGGAGGUUAUAACUCCUGAUACCAACAGAAAUAUUUAUGCUGAAUUAUCCUACCUUAACUACCCAUCUGUGAUGGUUAAUUUUAUGUGUCAACUCGAGUGGGUCACAGAGUGUCCAGAUAUUUGGUUAAACAUCAUGUCUAGGUGUGUCUGUGAGGAUGUUUCUGGAUGAGAUCAAUAUGUGAAUUGGCACACCAAGUAAGGCAGGUUGCCCUCCCCAGUGUGGGUGGGCAUCAUCCGAUCCUUCGAGAGCCUAAAUGGAACAAAAGGUGGAGGAAGGGAGGCUUUGCUGUCUGCCUGACUCCUUGAGAAGGAACAUUGAUCUUCUCUUGCCCUGGGACUGGGACUUAUACUUGGUUCUCAAGCCUUUGGGCUCGGACUGAAACUCCACCACCAGCUUUCCUGCAACCAUUUUGCAAUUGGUGGAUCAAAGGACACCUCAGCCUUCAUAGUUGUGUGAGCUAACUCCUCGCAGAAGUUUGAUUUGAGCAGAAAGCUGUGUGCUUUAUUCCCUGCUGUAUCCCCAUUGCUCAAAUGCCACCACUACCUAGCAAAAGCUUACUAGAGCCUUGUUGGAUUCAUUAAAGUGCCUACUCUGCGCCAAGCAUUGUGGGAAGCUCUUUCCAUAACAAUGUGACAUCCCGUUUAAUCCCCACAACAAUGCCAAGUGGCAGGUUUUGUCCUGCUCGUUUUACAGAUGAGAAAACCGAGGCCCAGAAAAGCUAAUUAACUUCCUCAACAGCACAUAGCUGGUAAGCAGCAACUGAACCCAAGUCUGUCUAUCCCUAAAGUCUAUGUCUUCUCUACUUUUCGAGGGGAAAAGAGGAAGUGAAAUCGAGAAUGUAAAGGAUCCAAAUCAGGUUAAGAUUCUCGUACCACAGUUAGGAACCCGGGGCAGUCAGUCCCGUUGUCAAAUGAAGACCAGGAACCCCAGGGCUCAAGACCAGCACAGCUUUCCACUGGUGUUGACAGAGGUCUGAAUGCAAGAGGACUUUCCUACGAAGGCUGAAGAAAAUACGAUGCAGCCGUGGGUGUCAGCUGAAGAACAGCCAACACAAGAGCUGGAUCCUAUUUACCCACGGAAUGAAUUGUGACUGCUAUUUUUCAAGGGAUUAAAAAAAGGAAUGCCGUGUGAAGGAAAACACUUACUCCGCACACCCUGAAGUGAACACAUACCAUUCUUGUUUCGCCAUGAGAACGUUUGGCCAACUGCCUCUCGCCUUUUACCAUUUUCUUGCUCAUUCUCUUACCUUUCUCAAAAAUAAGAGGAUGUUCAUUAAUCAGAGGCACCAUUCUGGGGAGUUGCAUAACAACCUGGAAACCAUCACAACUGGGGAAGUGGGAAGCAACUCGGACUUGCAAAAUUGGAAGUCCUAGAUUUUAGGACAAUAGUCUGCUCCUUAAUUCCUUUGCCUGGGUGAUUAAGCCAGUUUAUCUAAACCUCAGCUCGCUCAUCUACAAGAUGAUGGAAAUGAUAUCUGCUCUGCUGACUUCAUAGGGGUUUUGAGAGGAUUAAACGAGAUGACGUGGGGCUGGCCCCGUGGCCGAGUGGUUAAGUUCGCGCGCUCUGCUGCAGGCGGCCCAGUGUUUCCUUAGUUCGAAUCCUGGGCGCGGACACAGCACUGCUCAUCAGACCAUGCUGAGGCAGCGUCCCACAUGCCACAACUAGAAGAACCCACAACGAAGAAUACACAACUAUGUACCGGGGGGCUUUGGGGAGA
rnacentral:lncRNA from 1 species